UCGAGAGGCUUCUACAAUGGGGGAAACCCUGAUAGAGCGACGCCGCGUGGGUGAUGAAGGUCUUCGGAUCGUAAAGCCCUUUCAGCAGGGAAGAACGGAUUGGUGCUAAUAUCACCGUAUCCAUGACGGUACCUGCAGAAGAAGCUCCGGCUAACUACGUGCCAGCAGCCGCGGUAACACGUAGGGAGCGAGCGUUACUCGGAAUCACUGGGCAUAAAGGGCGUGUAGGCGGGUGCGCAAGUCCGAUGUGAAAUCCACCGGCUCACCCGGUGAAGUGCAUUGGAUACUGCGUGUCUGGAGUGUGGGAGAGGAGAGCGGAACUCUUGGUGGAGCGGGUAAAUGCGUAGAUAUCAAGAGGAACGCCGGUGGCGAAAGCGGCUCUCUGGCCCAUUACUGACGCUGAGGCGCGAAAGCUAGGGGAGCAAACG
rnacentral:rRNA from 1 species